rnacentral:rRNA from 1 species
CAGCCGCCACGGGAAAACGUAGGUGGCAAGCGUUGUCCGGAAUUAUUGGGCGUAAAGCGCGCGCAGGCGGAUAGGUCAGUCUGUCUUAAAAGUUCGGGGCUUAACCCCGUGAUGGGAUGGAAACUGCCAAUCUAGAGUAUCGGAGAGGAAAGUGGAAUUCCUAGUGUAGCGGUGAAAUGCGUAGAUAUUAGGAAGAACACCAGUGGCGAAGGCGACUUUCUGGACGAAAACUGACGCUGAGGCGCGAAAGCCAGGGGAGCGAACGGGAUUAGAUACCCGAGUAGUCCCUGUCUCUUAUACA